CUCAGACACAACUGACCACUGCGUUUCCUGAGGAACUGCUUUUCUAAGAAGCAACAACUGAUUAAGCAAGAGGCUUCCCCCCCAUGUCCGCUCAUUGCCUUUGAAGAGACGAGGGGGCACGGGACCCCACAGAGGUCCUGUUUCUGUGCGGCCAAGUCUCAACAACACUGGGAAAUGACUGGCUGGGAACACGCUGCAUUCAGAGCUACAGAGAGCAUGUCAUGGCAGCUCCCCAAUUAUGCAGCUCUGUCCGAGGGUCUGCUCUCAGCACCUGCCUGCUGCUCCAACAAGAGGAGACCAGUCCUGGACUCGACAAACUUCACCUGAUGCCACGAAGAGAGCAUUGGGAGCAAGCGCAGGAGACUGGAUGCCUAGACACCGUGACCUAGAAAAUACUGUAAAUGGUAUCAUUUUAUGGGAGGGAUGGAGAACUUGCAGAGAACUAAACGAAGCUGACCUCUUUGUUGAGGUUGCCUCAAUGUUGCAGGCAGGCUCCUUCUGCUUGAGCAAAUCAUUGGUCCAAAUAAACCAAAACAAACUGAAUGAAACUAGUUUUCAGCUAA